rnacentral:rRNA from 1 species
GUAGAGGGGGGUAGAAUUCCAGGUGUAGCGGUGAAAUGCGUAGAGAUCUGGAGGAAUACCGGUGGCGAAGGCGGCCCCCUGGACGAAGACUGACGCUCAGGUGCGAAAGCGUGGGGAGCAAACAGGAUUAGAUACCCUGGUAGUCCACGCCGUAAACGAUGUCGACUUGGAGGUUGUGCCCUUGAGGCGUGGCUUCCGGAGCUAACGCGUUAAGUCGACCGCCUGGGGAGUACGGCCGCAAGGUUAAAACUCAAAUGAAUUGACGGGGGCCCGCACAAGCGGUGGAGCAUGUGGUUUAAUUCGAUGCAACGCGAAGAACCUUACCUGGUCUUGACAUCCAC